rnacentral:rRNA from 1 species
UACGUAGGGGGCAAGCGUUGUCCGGAAUCAUUGGGCGUAAAGCGCGUGUAGGCGGUUCGGUAAGUCGGCUGUGAAAGUCCAGGGCUCAACCCUGGGAUGCCGGUCGAUACUGCCGGACUAGAGUUCGGAAGAGGCGAGCGGAAUUCCCGGUGUAGCGGUGAAAUGCGCAGAUAUCGGGAGGAACACCAAUGGCGAAGGCAGCUCGCUGGGACGUUACUGACGCUGAGACGCGAAAGCGUGGGGAGCGAACAGG